UAGGGAAUCUUCGGCAAUGGACGAAAGUCUGACCGAGCAACGCCGCGUGAGUGAAGAAGGUUUUCGGAUCGUAAAACUCUGUUGUUAGAGAAGAACAAGGACGUUAGUAACUGAACGUCCCCUGACGGUAUCUAACCAGAAAGCCACGGCUAACUACGUGCCAGCAGCCGCGGUAAUACGUAGGUGGCAAGCGUUGUCCGGAUUUAUUGGGCGUAAAGCGAGCGCAGGCGGUUUCUUAAGUCUGAUGUGAAAGCCCCCGGCUCAACCGGGGAGGGUCAUUGGAAACUGGGAGACUUGAGUGCAGAAGAGGAGAGUGGAAUUCGAUGUGUAGCGGUGAAAUGCGUAGAUAUAUGGAGGAACACCAGUGGCGAAGGCGGCUCGCUGGUCUGUAACUGACGCUGAGGCUCGAAAGCGUGGGGAGCAAACAGG
rnacentral:rRNA from 1 species